rnacentral:lncRNA from 1 species
UGGAAGAAGCCAAUCCGAAAAGGCUACAUAAUGAGUGAUUGUAACUAUGUGACAUUCUGGAGAAGACAAAACCGGUAAGAUGAUCAGUGGUUGCCAGGGAGUCGCGGGGAGGGAGGAAUGGGCGGGAGGAGCACAGAGGAUUCUGAGGGCAGUGAAACUACUCUGCAUCAUACUGUAAUGCUGGAUACAGGUCGUCGUAUAUUUGUUCAGACCCAUAUCAUGUACAGCUGUGGCCUAAAUGAGCAACAUACGUUUGUGGAAGGAGUAAAGAGUGGGCCGUGCUCCAGUUCGUGGCUUCCCCUCACUUCCUGUAUCAUUAGCGAUGCCGCGUGCCCACGCCACCUGUUGCCAAGCACGCUACCAAGUGCGUUCCUUCCGCACACCUCAGUUCUUCGCGACGGUUCUCACCAGUCGGGAUUAUUGCUCCCAUUUGCCGCAGAUGAAGUCACUGAGGUGGAGAAUUUCCGCUUCCAACGCAAUGAUCCAUAUGGCGGGUCGAGCGUCCCGAAAAUAUUUGUCCGCCACAACUCCACUAGAUCUUGGAUUAAUUACAGCAGGGAUUUUUGUCUGCAUUGCAUUGCUGAAGUCACAAGGGAGUAAAUGAAACCGUGAAAGUCAUUCAUACACAUAAGAAUGAACGGUGGAUUGAGACCAAAACAGUGAACGUUAAUAAGGAAUAGAAACUGGGGCUGCCCUGGUGGCAAAGGAUGAUAACAGGAAUCCAGAGUUUGGGGGGUUAAUAACUAGGAGAAAAAUAAGAGGCCCUCAUGAAGGGGGAGUAUCAAAAACUGAGACCUCUGCACUAAUCUGGGACCUCGGAAGGUGGCUAUGCCCUUGAUAAAAGGGAGGGAUAGAAAGAGACUGUGGAAAGCAAUGAGUCUUCACCCUGGUUAUGGGAUAAUGAUGAUGGUGGUGGUGAUGCUGAUGGUGAUGGCAAUGAUGGUGACGCUGAUGGUGAUGGGGAUGAUAGUGAUGAUGAUAUGAUGGUGGUGAUGAUGGUGAUGGUGAUGGUGGUGAUGGGGAUGGGGAUGGGGAUGAUGGUGAUGAUGAUAUGACGGUGGUGAUGGUAGUGAUAAUGGUGAUGACGAUGGGGAAGAUGAUGAUGAUGGCGGUGAUGAGGUUGAUGAUUGCAGUCCUUGAGAAUUCACACCCAUAUGCCCACUCUUGUAUAGCUCCAGAGUUUCCGUUUUUCCAAGAGGUGAGAGAAAUCCCCAGCAGAAAAAUUAAACCUAAGUGUUCUCAGAUUAAUUUUACCUCCAUGGAACCUAGUAGGGGCUAACAUAAAUAAUCUCAAGGCAAAAGCAGUCCCAAUUUAGACUCCUCAGGGUUCUCCCAGAUUAAAUUCAACCAAAGACAAGCUCUCACAAACACAAAACAUGCAAGCAAGGAAGCCACCAUGAGUAACUAUCUGUAGAAACCACCAUUCAGAUUUGGAUCUCCCUAGGACUUUAGACAAUGAAAUUAUCGAAUAUAGGUAUUUUUAUUUAUUUAUUUUAACAUUUAUUCAUUUUUGAGAGAGAGACAGAGUGCGAUUUGCAGGGGGAGGGGGGGAGGGUAGAGAGAGAGGGAGACACAGAAUCCGAAGCAGGCUCCAGGCUCCGAGCUGUCAGCACAGAGCCCGACUUGGGGCUCAAACCCGUGAACCGCGAGAUCAUGACCCAAGCCAAAGUCGGCCACUUAACCAACUGAGCCACCCAGGCGCCCCCGAGUACCGGUAUUUUUAAAAGUGUUAUUGGUUUUUUGCUUCCAGCCUUGAUGGAGUAACAAGUACUGGACUAUCUCUCCUGCUUUUAAACAACAGAAAGCUGGACAAAAUAAACAGGACAACUAUUUUCAGGUGCUGGACGACAGACAGUGCAGGACUGUGGUCUCCGAGAGAAGGGGGGCAAGGUGAGCUGUAUGCUCACCCAGCGCUUCUUCCGGAAGGCAUCACUAUGCUUGGCAGAAAGGAGGACCCCAGGCAGAAUACACUAAUGUCACUGAGCCGAGGCAGAGCCCAGAGCCCGAGAAGCGGAGGCAGCAGGAAUUUAUAAAUCAGAGCGACCAUGUGACCCAGCAAGUCCCCUCCUCGUGGUAUGCCCAAGAGAAUUAAAAACGUAUGUCCACACAAAAAUUUGUGCACGAAUGUCCAGGGCAGUCAGUGUUCGCCAGUGACAGGGUGAUGGGGAUGAUCACAAAAGUCCAUGAGACAACUUUUUUGGAGCGGAGGAAUGUACAGAAAAAAGAAACAAGGCUCUAUUCCCCACCCCCAUCAAAUAAGCGAAGGAAGGAGCCCUAACACACCUGCUACCAGAUUCCUGUGGAAUGAACUUGGUGGCUGUCUGCAGUGCCCAUGACCACCAGCAGGUGGCACUCUGUCUUGCACGCAUCUGCCCUUUGCAGGGCCAUCUUGUCUCCACGUAUGCCUCUGAUCUCUCUAGGCAGAUAGAGGAGGCUGGUGUGGAGGCUGUGAGUAUAAUCCCCUGUGACGGUCACCUUGGAGUGACGCCGCAGAGAGGAGACGACCGGUCCCCAUGCUUCUUGCCUGGUCACGGGCCAGAGCACGGCGGCUGAAAUAUGGCGAGAGGACUUUUGAGCACAUUUUCCAUAAGAGGCGUCUUCUUGACCUGUGACGUGUCCACAUGGUGUUAAAACAAUGACAAGAAGGGGCUGGGAGAAGCUGAGAGAGGGCAAGACCCUGGGCCCCGUGGACCCACACGGCCUUCCUCUGUGCUUACGCCCCACUCGGCAAAGGCCCAGGUGGUACCCUACAGCCUUGUCCGAUCACCCCCGGGCUCAUGCUGCCCCGUCUUGGAACCUAGCCACCCGUCUGCCAAGCCCUGGCAAAGUCAGUUUUGCCUAUCCUGUGCCUGGUAGGUCUGCUUUCCUUCUUUUCCUUUGCCAAAAGAGUGAUGAAUCCAAGGCCCCAAAGGCCAAUCCCCAGCUAGCACUGCUUAUGGCCCCAGUGUGGAGAGAUGGAAUGUCUGGGAUUUAGUGGGUCUUUUCUUCUUACCAGAUGUUCUAGAAAGCUCUCCAAACACUUUUGUUCUGACAGUGCCAGAAGGGACUUCAACCCUAUUGUCCAUAAUUGUUGGAGAUGGAACAUUCCAACACCCAUUGGAGAAAGAGGCAGCUCGGGACAUCACACCAGGCUGAGCUGUGAACUAGUCACCUCCUAGGGUUCCCAUCUUGGGCUCAACAAAUGUGCCUUUGUUGACUGGACGUCCAGUGGGAACUCGCGGAGCCUUAGGACGGGGCUGACACUUCCCCAGGGUGAGAACUGGUUCAAGCCAACCAUCAUCAAGGUGACUCUGUCCUUGGCUGGCUCAUGCGGUAAGUGGCCCAGAAUGGCCUUUUGGCUCCAGGGCCACCACUGGUGAGGCUGGUCUCCUCAUUCCCAACUCUGAUUCGUGACUGGGGAGUCUGAUUAGACCCGGUGGUCCUUUAAAAUGGACAGCCUUGGGGCGCCUGGGUGGCGCAGUCGGUUAAGCGUCCGACUUCAGCUCAGGUCACGAUCUCAC